rnacentral:snoRNA from 1 species
CCAACGUGGACAUCGGUGAGGUUGCUCUCACAUGGCUCUGUCCUUGUGCGUAUGGGAGCGUAGUACUUCACAGUGCUGUGACGUACAGUCCCGUCACGACUGGGGAGCAAGCUUUGUCCCUGGCCUUCGGGCUGGUGAGGACGGCGUUCUGUAUAUUCCUACCCUCCAGAGCCCUUUGGGCCAUGACUGGGGGGCUAAACCAUGCAGUGUACAACU